AUGGAGAAGCCGAGGCUCAGCACACCCCUGACACUUGCUCACCACCACGCCAUCCGUCUGGGACAGCCCAGGAGGGAGCCAGGGUUUCUGCCUCCUAGACCAAGACUUCUUCUUCCUGCGUGUUGGUCAAAGGAAGCCCUGCUGUCUUCACCCUCCCCAGUGCCCUGGAGGAGCCCAGGGCAGCGGCUGCCUCCCGAUACCAGAAGCCAUGGCUCCCGCUCCGGGCUGCUCUGCUCAGCGGGUACAGGUGGGCAGUGCCAUCGGCCAGGAAUGCGAGAAAACAGAACACCGCCUCUGUCCUUCACAGCUGACAAUACCGGCCAGAGAUAAGAAUAAAAUUUACAUCUCUUACUUCCUCAUAGUCCUGCAAUGCAGUGGGAAAAGGCAAACAGAAAGAAGGAAAAAGAAGGAGAGAAAGGAAGGGAGGGAGGGAGAGAGGUCUGGAGAAUUACUCAGGGAAAUUUCUUUGGAAAGGAAUUAGGAGGUGCAUUCUAGACUCUGUUUUUUGUUUGUUUGUUUAGUUUUAUUUUUGUGGUACUAGGGAUGGAACUCAGGACCAUGCACUUGCAAAGCAGGCAUGAUGCCACUGAGCUAAAUCCCCGGCCAAAUUAUUUUAAGGUAGUUUGAGUAUUAACUUUCUGUUUGUCUUCUUUUUUUUUAUUUUUCUUUUUGUCUUCUAAGUCAAUGGUCCCAACCUUUUUGGCACCAGGGACCAGUUUCAUGGGAGACGGUUUCUCGAGUGGGGACAGGGACGGUUUCAGGAUAAUUUAGAGCAGUGUACAACCUGGCUCCCUUGUGUGAGGAACUCACAGGGUCUGGCUCCUGUCCGAAUCUAAGACACAGAGAGAGAGAUAUUAAAUCACUUUCCCUUUGAAAGAGGCCUCAUGCUGGCCAGCCACCCACCCGACCCGUGUCCUGAGACCCUGCCAGCCUCUGUCCCCUCUGGCCACCAGCAAGGGAGGUAAGGUCUAAGAGCAAGCAGCAGAGCCGGCGCAGGGAGGUCACCAGUGCUGACUUGUGCCACAUCUUGAACAGCUCUGCCCGUGAACCUGGCUGAGUGGAACAGUGUCACAGGAGCCCACCGAGGAGCUGAGGUUAGAGCUGAGCUCCCUGAGGAGGAGGAGAAGGAGAGGAGGAGGAGGAGGAGGAGGGCUGUUGGCAGCCUCUGGGAGCCCCCAGCAGCAGUUCAUGGUGCAGAGGUGACAUUACAAAGGCCAGACCCAAGCCCACCAGGGCUGCUUCUGAAUCAAGCAAGGAGCAGAGUGGUUCCCAGGGGAGACCAGGCACCUGUCUCACUUUUCUUUGUGUCUCCCGGCCUAGCAGGUGGUAGGUGCUCAGGGGAACAGAAUCUGACAGAUGUGACUCUACAGAAAACGGAGGUGCUGGGAACCGUCUGGGUUCAAAAUGUUCCCAGAGCGAAUGAUGCGCUCCACUGCAGGUUGAAAGGUAGCUCCCUCCCCUCUUCUGGUCUAUCUCUAUGGUGACCAUUACCAGGACUGGUCAAGGUCACACGUGGUCAACCAAGUGGCAGUGCCCUGGGGACCGAGCAGUUGCAUCUUAGCUAUGGCAUUUCAGAUUCUGAACAGCUCUGUAUUACAUCAGUCUUUUUGUUGUUGCACAAAUGCGAUAAAAAAGCAUUGGAUGCAUUUCUUAGGAAGACAAGCCAUCCUGCUGCCUUAGAACUGAUUGGAUUUUUCUAUUUCCAUACACACAUGUAUUUUACACCCCACGGCGAUCGCAGUGAGCAUAUAAUUUUGUAUUGUGCUAAGAUGCCUUUUUUUUUUUUUUUUUUUAGCAAAUCGUUUGUUCUUUUGCAUAGAUUCUGUGCUUGGGGCCAGGCUUUUUGCUGAGGACAAUGGGGCACAUUGGCGUGACCUCUCCUGGG
rnacentral:lncRNA from 1 species